AGGCAUACCUGGGAAGACAGGAUCUCCCAACUGAAAAGCACCUGUUGAGUUCACUGAAGUCACAAGGAUGAAGAAUAAAGAAAGUGACCUGAUUACUCACCUCCAAUCUGCUCUAAACCAGCUUGAGGGGCUCCCACACACUCCCUUCUGUCCGCACGCCAUGACCAAAUGUAUCAUCAAAUCAGCCAGGUGCUCUGCAGGCUGCCAUGAAACCAGAACUCCCUGAAAUUGGCUCCAGGUGAAUGAAUUGGUGUUUUUCUACAUAACACUGGGCAAAAUUAGUUUCUUUGGGCAAAAUAUUUACAACUCCAAUGUAGAGUGAAAGAAGGAGGUGGGUUUUAUUGAGGAAUGAAUAUCUCUUGUUCAUACCACCUUUCCUUUAAGUAAUCCCCCUA